UGCCUAAACCUUUUGCGAGGCAUGGCAUUAAAAGUCCGAUCAAGGUAUUAAGCUCGUCGUCAGAGCACCUUGAUCGGUCAUGUCUCGAAAGAGAUGUGGGUAGUCUUCGGACUAUC
rnacentral:sRNA from 1 species